AGAGUUUGAUCAUGGCUCAGAAUCAACGCUGGCGGCGCGCUUAACACAUGCAAGUCGCACGAGAAAGUGGAGCAAUCCAUGAGUACAGUGGCGUACGGGUGAGUAACACGUGGAUCAUCUACCUUCUAGUGGGGAAUACCUCCGGGAAACUGGAGACAAUACCGCAUAAGCUCGAGAGAGGAAAGCCGAAAGGCGCUGGAAGAGGAGUCCGCGGCUGAUUAGCUAGUUGGCGGGGUAAUGGCCCACCAAGGCGAAGAUCGGUAGCCGGCCUGAGAGGGCACACGGCCACACUGGCACUGAAACACGGGCCAGACUCCUACGGGAGGCAGCAGUGGGGAAUCUUGCACAAUGGAGGAAACUCUGAUGCAGCGACGCCGCGUGAGCGAUGAAGCCCUUCGGGGUGUAAAGCUCUUUCGACGGGAACGAUAAUGACGGUACCCGAAGAAGAAGCUGCGGCUAACUACGUGCCAGCAGCCGCGGUAAUACGUAGGCAGCAAGCGUUGUUCGGAAUUACUGGGCGUAAAGAGUGUGUAGGCGGUGUUCUAAGUUUGUCGUGAAAUCUCCCGGCUUAACUGGGAGGGUGCGGCGAAAACUGGAAUGCUAGAGGAUGGGAGAGGUAAGCGGAAUUCCUGGUGUAGCGGUGAAAUGCGUAGAUAUCAGGAGGAACACCUGUGGUGUAGACAGCUUACUGGACCAUUUCUGACGCUGAGACACGAAAGCGUGGGUAGCAAACAGGAUUAGAUACCCUAGUAGUCC
rnacentral:rRNA from 1 species